rnacentral:tRNA from 1 species
UGAGGUGUGGCUCAGUAAUAGAGCAUUUGCUUAGCACGUGAGAGGCCCUGGGUUCAAUCCUCAGCAUCAUAU